rnacentral:rRNA from 1 species
UACGCAGGGGGCUAGCGUUGCUCGGAAUCACUGGGCGUAAAGCGCGUGUAGGCGGCUCUGCAAGUCGGAUGUGAAAUCCCACGGCUCAACCAUGGAAGUGCAUUCGAAACUGCAGGGCUAGAGUCCUGGAGAGGAAGGUGGAAUGCUUGGUGUAGAGGUGAAAUUCGUAGAUAUCAAGCGGAACACCGGUGGCGAAGGCGGCCUUCUGGACAGUGACUGACGCUGAGACGCGAAAGCGUGGGGAGCAAACAGG